GGCGCAAAUUUGAAGCAGAGUAGCUUAGUACGAUCAGCUCAUCCUACUGAUCUACUCUACGUCAAAUUUGGGCCC
rfam:Haemonchus contortus, ISE/inbred ISE, WGS project CAVP01000000 data, contig: Hcontortus_35130